GCCUGUGUAGCUCAGUUGGUUAGAGCGCUGCUCCGGAAUCGCAGGCCCGUAGGUUCGAUUCCUACCAGAGGAC
rnacentral:tRNA from 1 species